rnacentral:tRNA from 1 species
GCGGCUGUGGCUGACUGGUUACGGUGUUUGUUUUGUUAGCGAAUGGUCCUGGGUUCGAUUCCCAUCGGCUCCC